AGUGAACGCUGGCGGUAGGCCUAACACAUGCAAGUCGAACGGCAGCACAGUAAGAGCUUGCUCUUACGGGUGGCGAGUGGCGGACGGGUGAGGAAUACAUCGGAAUCUACUUUUUCGUGGGGGAUAACGUAGGGAAACUUACGCUAAUACCGCAUACGACCUACGGGUGAAAGCAGGGGAUCUUCGGACCUUGCGCGAUUGAAUGAGCCGAUGUCGGAUUAGCUAGUUGGCGGGGUAAAGGCCCACCAAGGCGACGAUCCGUAGCUGGUCUGAGAGGAUGAUCAGCCACACUGGAACUGAGACACGGUCCAGACCCCUACGGGAGGCAGCAUUGGGGAAUAUUGGACAAUGGGCGCAAGCCUGAUCCAGCCAUACCGCGUGGGUGAAGAAGGCCUUCGGGUUGUAAAGCCCUUUUGUUGGGAAAGAAAAGCAGCAGGUUAAUACCCCGCUGUUCUGACGGUACCCAAAGAAUAAGCACCGGCUAACUUCGUG
rnacentral:rRNA from 1 species